GACGAACGCUGGCGGCGUGCUUAACACAUGCAAGUCGUGCGGUAAGGCCCUUUCGGGGGUACACGAGCGGCGAACGGGUGAGUAACACGUGAGCAACCUGCCCUUCACUUUGGGAUAACUGCCGGAAACGGUGGCUAAUACCGGAUAUGACUUCCUCACGCAUGUGGGGUGGUGGAAAGCCUUCGGGUGGUGGGGGAUGGGCUCGCGGUCUAUCAGCUUGUUGGUGGGGUGAUGGCCUACCAAGGCUUCGACGGGUAGCCGGCCUGAGAGGGUGACCGGCCACACGGGGCCUGAGACAGGGCCCAGACGGCUACGGGAGGCAGCAGUGGGGAAUAUUGGACAAUGGGCGAAAGCCUGAGCCAGCAACGCCGCGUGAGGGAUGACGGCCUUCGGGUUGUAAACCGCUUUCGCCUGCGACGAAGCGAGAGUGACGGUAGCAGGUAAAGAAGCACCGGCCAACUACGUG
rnacentral:rRNA from 1 species